rnacentral:rRNA from 1 species
GAUGAACGCUGGCGGCGUGCCUAAUACAUGCCAGUCGAGCGAACGGACGAGAAGCUUGCUUCUCUGAUGUUAGCGGCGGACGGGUGAGUAACACGUGGAUAACCUACCUAUAAGACUGGGAUAACUUCGGGAAACCGGAGCUAAUACCGGAUGAUAUUUUGAACCGCAUGGUUCAAAAGUGAAAGACGGUCUUGCUGUCACUUAUAGAUGGAUCCGCGCUGCAUUAGCUAGUUGGUAAGGUAAUGGCUUACCAAGGCAACGAUGCAUAGCCGACCUGAGAGGGUGAUCGGCCACACUGGAACUGAGACACGGUCCAGACUCCUACGGGAGGCAGCAGUAGGGAAUCUUCCGCAAUGGGCGAAAGCCUGACGGAGCAACGCCGCGUGAGUGAUGAAGGUCCUCGGAUCGUAAAACUCUGUUAUUAGGGAAGAACAUAUGUGUAAGUAACUGUGCACAUCUUGACGGUACCUAAUCAGAAAGCCACGGCUAACUACGUG